AAAAGUUUUGAUAGGAUACAUUAAAAUACGCAACCAACCGUCAUUGAACCGUCCAAUCAGAUCAAAGGAGUAAUCGUCGUAGAUCGUGCGUUAUCGAUAAUGUUCGGUGCCUGGAGAAAAUUGACAAUUGACAAGAGAAUUGUUUAUUAUUUUUGACUUUUUAGUUCGUUUAAUUUAAUAAUUACUAAAACCAGUAGUUCGAAAGAUAUAUUUAAAAAUAAAAGAUAAAAAUCCAAAAAAUUAAUUAUCUAUUAACGUGGAUUUGGACGACAAUAGGUUUUUAGUUUGUGAUGUUUCAUGUGAUGAUCAUUUUCAUGUUCAUCGUCUUUGAAUUGACAUGAGGAUAUCUAUGGAAAAGUAACUAAUCUGAAAGUAAGCCAACAUAUCGUUUGUCCUUUGUGUGCUAAAGAAAAGAUUUUCUUUUCGCAUCAUGAGGAAGUAUUACAUCAAUUAAAAAAUGUUAGGAAGUUGAUUACUUGUCAUGGAAAAGUAUACCAAUGGAAAUUAUUUGUUAAAGAAGUAUAAUUCUAAGGGUUUUAAGAAUAAAUUGGUUGAACCCAAAAUCUGGAGGAAGUACCUAUAUCCAUACACAGAAUAUGCCCAUUAAAAAUACUAGUCCAAAUUUGCUUUAAUGGUAGACAAUUAUUCAAUACAAAUUAACUUUUUAAGUGACUGAAAUAUUAAAUAGUUUAGAAUAUGGUAUAACAAUGUAAAAAAAUAUUAUUUUCAGGAACGAUUAGGGCCCGAUAUAUUUGAAACUCAUGUUGGACAUAGUAUUGAGUUGGGUAGAAUAUUAUUCUACGUUAAGUGAGGGUAUCAGAUACCUAUUAUUGUACUGUAUUUUAAUAUAUACAUUAGAAUUGUUGGUUUUUU